rnacentral:rRNA from 1 species
AUGGACUUGUCCAAGAAGAAACAAAGUAACCAGGGGGCCAACUUGAGAAGAGAGGGAUGUUCUUGCGAAGGAAGAAGGAAGCAGGAGGGCCAUUGUGCAAAUGGAAGAUCAGAUCGAGGGGUCAAAAUCCCUAGUCCAUCUCCAAUUCCCCUGGGCCUGGCUACUCAACUCUCUCCCUCACACCCCCUUCUCCACCACCGGCCGCCGCCGCGGCCAGGCCGGCGUGGCGGCGCGCCACCAGCACCUCCCACCACAUCACCACCUUGCGCCAUCCACCAGCGCCACCAUCUUCUUCUCCUUCCCCGAAUCCACCAUCAUCCAUCCACACCGCCGCUACCAGCACCACAACGCUUCCCCGCACCUCGCGCCCCUGCUGCUCCUCUUCUUCUCCUACGCCUUGCUGUUGCUCCUCCACUUCUCAACUCGAACCAGCUGCUCCUCCUCCUUCCCUUGCCUCUUCUCAAUCUGCUGCUACUACUCUUCUCCUUACCUCACUGCUGCACUUCUCCUUCUCCUAACCUUGCUGCUGUUCUUCUCUGA